rnacentral:misc_RNA from 1 species
AGCAGCCGCGGUAAUUCCAGCUCCAAUAGCGUAUAUUAAAGUUGUUGCAGUUAAAAAGCUCGUAGUUGAAUUUCGGGGUUAGCAGGUCGGUCGUGCCAUCGGUAUGAACUGGUCUCGCUGAUCCCUCCCUCUUGACGAACUGUGAUGCCAUUAAUUUGGUGUCGCAGGGAAUCAGGACUGUUACUUUGAAAAAUUAGAGUGUUUAAAGCAGGCUCACGCUUGAAUACAUUAGCAUGGAAUAAUGAAAUAGGACGUUUGAUUCUAUUUUGUUGGUUUCUAGGAUCGACGUAAUGAUUAAUAGGGAUAGUUGGGGGCAUUAGUAUUCAAUUGUCAGAGGUGAAAUUCUUGGAUUUAUUGAAGACUAACUACUGCGAAAGCAUUUGCCAAGGAUGUUUUCAUUAAUCAAGAACGAAAGUUAGGGGAUCGAAGACGAUCAGAUACCGUCGUAGUCUUAACCAUAAACUAUGCCGACUAGGGAUCGGAUGAUGUUAAUUUUAAUGACUCAUUC